GACGAACGCUGGCGGCGUGCUUAACACAUGCAAGUCGAACGGAAAGGCCCUGCUUUUGUGGGGUGCUCGAGUGGCGAACGGGUGAGUAACACGUGAGUAACCUGCCCUUGACUUUGGGAUAACUUCAGGAAACUGGGGCUAAUACCGGAUAGGAGCUCCUGCUGCAUGGUGGGGGUUGGAAAGUUUCGGCGGUUGGGGAUGGACUCGCGGCUUAUCAGCUUGUUGGGGGGGUAGUGGCUAAGCAUGGCUUGGCCGGGUAGCCGGGCUGGGAGGGUGAGCGGCCCAGUGGGACUGGGAAUGGGCCACGGCCCCGACCGGGAGGGGAGGGGGGGGUGUGUAAAAUAGGGGGAGGAGCCCUAGCCCGGCCCCGCCCGGCGGGGUGAGCGGGCCUGGGGUUUGGAUUGCACUUCCCCUUGACACGAGGUGAUAAUGACGGUAAUGGGAAAAUAAGCACCGGCUAACUCCGUG
rnacentral:rRNA from 1 species